GGUGAAGGACGGGGAUUAGGUAACCCCUUACUCCACGGUGUCAAUUAGAACUGGGGACUACGAGCGUAUGCUUAAAACUCGAAGAUCUUGGCGUGGUGGUGCACAUCCGGGCAGGGGAACUUGACGCUCAAUCCGAUGAUCCGCGUUUAAUCUCAUCUUUCCUUGAAGGGCUUAGACAGCCGCAGGUGUUAUACAGCCGUCAAACGACCACGCGUAAUCGUCCACCAGUAUCAGAUGAAAAGCGUGCAAAGAAGUGAGGGCCGGAAGAGCAAUCUGUCGGGGUUAGUUGAAGUUAAUUCUUCUCCCCUCGCCGGCGGCUUCGGCGGCCACCCCCCAACCUUUACGCCGUCGGGGUUGAGCUAGGUCCGUUAGAACUUAAAUUUGUCAGGUCGAUGCGACCCCUAUGGAAAGAGGUUAGUUGAGUUACAGAAUGACGAACUCCCAGAGGUAGAUUCUCAGCUGGGAUGAAGAAGGACUUGCUAGUAAGCGCGGGAUUAAAACGCCUGCCUGAAUGAGAGAAAUGCCCCGCGUACAAACCGCCCGUCGCUCUCGGGGAAACCGGAGAU
rnacentral:rRNA from 1 species